AGCAGCCGCGGUAAUUCCAGCUCCAAUAGCGUAUAUUAAAGUUGUUGCAGUUAAAAAGCUCGUAGUUGAAUUUCGGGAUCAAUUAAUUGGUCGUGCCUCUGGUACGUACUGAUUUUAUUGGUUUCUCCCUUCUGACGAACCAUGAUGUCAUUAAUUUGGUGUCGUGGAGAAUCAGGACUGUUACUUUAGAAAAAUUAGAGUGUUUAAAGCAAGCUAACGCUUGAAUACAUUAGCAUGGAAUAAUGAAAUAGGACGUUUGAUCCUAUUUUGUUGGUUUCUAGGAUCGACGUAAUGAUUAAUAGGGAUAGUUGGGGGCAUUAGUAUUCAAUUGUCAGAGGUGAAAUUCUUGGAUUUAUUGAAGACUAACUACUGCGAAAGCAUUUGCCAAGGAUGUUUUCAUUAAUCAAAGAGCGAAAGUUAGGGGAUCGAAGACGAUCAGAUACCGUCGUAGUCUUAACCAUAAACUAUGCCGACUAGGAAUCAGACGAUGUUAAUUUUUAAUGUACUCGU
rnacentral:rRNA from 1 species